CUGCAGAGCGACGUUCAGGUCAGUCAGGGAACGCGAGUUCUGUUUGAGCUCAGAUGAAGUCUGCAUCACUCACCUUCUCCUUGAUGAACAUGCCGGUGAUGACGAGGCCGUACACGACCAGGAAGCCGUCCAGCAGGAAGCACAGCUUGGGGUCGUACAGCGCCAUGGCCUCUGGAGGUCAGGGGUCAGAGGUCAGACACCGGACGCGCACACACACAGUGAGUACAAUACAUCCGACACCACGGUCACAUGACUGCAGCUGUGAUCUGAUUGGUCGCUGACUUUCCUCACUGCGAGCUCCUUUUUUCUGUUGAAUCUUUGAAAUUCAGCGACUGAGUCGCACGUUUCCUCAGCUGCUGCUGCGGAGCGCAGGUGGUGUGUUCUCGUGUGGUUCAGUGUGUGUGUGUGUGUCUCAGGAAACCUCAGUGAGCGUUCAAACAGGUCAGAUCCUCUCGUCUCGACCCGUUUCAACAUUCAGCUGCCGAAGUUUCCAUGUGGCCAAAAGUAUGUGGACUCCCCUUCAACACUGACUGUGAGAAAAGUGACUGAGGCUCCAACAUGGCCGCCAGAGAGAAGCGGCUCCGCUCCUCAUUCUUCAUCUCUGGUUUCUGAUCGAUGCAGCUGACGGAUCGAUGGAUCGACGUCUCGAUGGAUCGAUGGACGUAUCCAUGGAGACGCUGCAGGCAUCCUGAAAGUCAAAGUGUCGGUGAAGGUGAGUGGUGUGUUCACUGACUCUCACCUGCAGUGGGAAACGUUGAGGCGACGACCAUCAGACCAAACGUCCACGACUUCAUGUCUCCGCUCGCUUCAACGACGUGACACCGAGCAGACGCCGUCGUCUUGUGUCGUCUGCUGUCUGAGUGGAGCAGGAAGUGGUGAGGAGCUGCUCUGCCAGGUGACACACAUGCGCGUCAUGUUUCUCUCCCACACACUUGAACAGUCUUUGUUCAGAUGGAAAAAGAAAUUCAACAAAUCAAAACAUUUAAAAGAUGAAAAUAUGUAAAACACAUGAAGAUGUUUCAGUUUGUGUCGUAUGAAGUUCAAACCUCAAUAAACACAAAAUGGAGGCGUCUCUCUUCUUUAACACAAAACUUUAUUUAUACAAGUCAUCAGUUAUUUUUCCUUUCAAACAGAAAAAUAGAAUUUCACAGCAAAGUUAUAAAGUUAUAAUCAUUAAGGCAAAAUAUUCUCUUUAAGAGGAAAAACAUAGUCGUCCGAAAAUAAAAAUAAACUACUUUAGGAGCAAAGCAAUAAUGACAAACUUAAACCCCACCCACCGCCGACGAUCAGAUAAACCCCGUCCCUCCCUGAGAAUAAACCACACCCCUGUUUGGAGAUAAGCUCCACCCUCAUCUAUGACGGCCGCCUUGUUGAGGAGUUGCCCCCCCUUACCAAGCUAAACCACGCCCCCUUCUAGAUACCCCACCCUAUUCCAUCACAUGUAGAAAAAAAAGUUUAUUUAAAUGGCCACGA